GACGAACGCUGGCGGCGUGCUUAACACAUGCAAGUCGAACGGAAAGGCCCUGCUUUUGUGGGGUGCUCGAGUGGCGAACGGGUGAGUAACACGUGAGUAACCUGCCCUUGACUUUGGGAUAACUUCAGGAAACUGGGGCUAAUACCGGAUAGGAGCUCCUGCUGCAUGGUGGGGGUUGGAAAGUUUCGGCGGUUGGGGAUGGACACGCGGCUUAUCAGCUUGUUGGUGGGGUAGUGGCUUACCAAGGCUUUGACGGGUAGCCGGCCUGAGAGGGUGACCGGCCACAUUGGGACUGAGAUGCGGGCCAGACUCCUACGGGAGGCAGCAGUGGGGGAUAGUGCACGAUGGGCGGAAGCCUGAUGCAGCAACGCCGCGUGCGGGAUGACGGCCUUCGGGUUGUAAACCGCUUGCGCCUGUGACGAAGCGUGAGUGACGGUAAUGGGUAAAGAAGCACCGGCUAACUACGUG
rnacentral:rRNA from 1 species